rnacentral:rRNA from 1 species
UGUGCCUACGGACGCAGCAGUGGGGAAUAUUGCACAAUGGGGGGAACCCUGAUGCAGCAAUGCCGCGUGAAAGAUGAAGGUUUUCGGAUUGUAAACUUCUUUUGUACGGGACGAAGAAAGUGACGGUACCGUAAGAAUAAGCCACGGCUAACUACGUGCCAGCAGCCGCGGUAAUACGUAGGUGGCAAGCGUUAUCCGGAUUUGCUGGGUGUAAAGGGCGAGUAGGCGGGAUUGCAGGUCAGAUGUGGAAACUAUGGGCUCAACCGAUAGAGUGCAUUUGAAACUGCAGUUCUUGAGUGAUGGAG